AGAGUUUGAUCAUGGCUCAGAUUGAACGCUGGCGGCAUGCCUUACACAUGCAAGUCGAACGGUAACAGGUCUUCGGAUGCUGACGAGUGGCGAACGGGUGAGUAAUACAUCGGAACGUGCCCAGUAAUGGGGGAUAGCUCGGCGAAAGCCGGAUUAAUACCGCAUACGCCCUGAGGGGGAAAGUGGGGGACCGCAAGACCUCACGUUAUUGGAGCGGCCGAUGGCUGAUUAGCUAGUUGGUAGGGUAAAGGCCUACCAAGGCGACGAUCAGUAGCUGGUCUGAGAGGACGAUCAGCCACACUGGGACUGAGACACGGCCCAGACUCCUACGGGAGGCAGCAGUGGGGAAUUUUGGACAAUGGGGGAAACCCUGAUCCAGCAAUGCCGCGUGUGCGAAGAAGGCCUUCGGGUUGUAAAGCACUUUUGUCAGGGAAGAAAUCCUUUGGGCUAAUACCCUAGGGGGAUGACGGUACCUGAAGAAUAAGCACCGGCUAACUACGUGCCAGCAGCCGCGGUAAUACGUAGGGUGCAAGCGUUAAUCGGAAUUACUGGGCGUAAAGCGUGCGCAGGCGGUUGUGUAAGACAGGUGUGAAAUCCCCGGGCUUAACCUGGGAAUUGCAUUUGUGACUGCACGACUAGAGUGUGUCAGAGGGGGGUGGAAUUCCACGUGUAGCAGUGAAAUGCGUAGAUAUGUGGAGGAACACCAAUGGCGAAGGCAGCCCCCUGGGAUAACACUGACGCUCAUGCACGAAAGCGUGGGGAGCAAACAGGAUUAGAUACCCCGGUAGUCC
rnacentral:rRNA from 1 species